GAGCCAGGCACGGCUGUGAGGAUGGCACCGGGGGACCCCCCUGUGGCACCCACCCCCCUGCCUGUGGCUUGCCCUCCUUCCUGGCGCUCGCCCCACUGACACUGGCACGUGCUGGCUGGACCCCACGCCUCGACACUGGGAGAAAUCUGCCGGGAGAGCACAGAGCCAAUGGCUCCCACUCCAAGGGGCAAAGGAGAUUGAAGCACUGGGACCCAGGAGCCUCUUUGGAGCCAGGAAACAAGGCUGACAUCCGAACACAGGAUGGGAUUUUUGAGAGAGAUGGAGAACUUCCACCGGCCUCCAGACCCAGAGCUGGCAGCAGGGCUUUGCAGCAACACACCACUGCUUUGCAGUGAGAGUGGCACAUACGGGACUUGCGGUGACAGAUUUCCAUCAAGGUUAUCGAAGAGGAAGCGCUGGAGGGUUAGAGCUUCUUAGGCGAACAGACUAUCCUCUUUUCUGUAGUCCUCCACCUAAAACUAGUACCAAAACCUCCUAGAAAUUAAAAGCUGAAGAAAGGAAUGCCAUCCUAAAUUUGUUCAAAAUGUAAUUUUUCAUUUUUUGGUCGUCUAAAUUUAAGCUUAAUUCAAUCCCGAGCCAAGGGAGGCCUUGCCUGUGUCACCGAUGGCAAACUGCUGUGCGCAAACAGCACUAUGUGCUUGAACAGCCGUUGCAAAAUCACAAGAACGAAAGCCUGCCCUCUUCCUCAGCAGUCUGUCGCUGACAGGGCAGAUAGGAAAAGAAAGGAGGGAGAAAGGGUUCAAGUUUUGCAUGAGGCCAACUUCAAAUCCCAAGGGAAAAACACUGGCCGGCAGCUGCACAAGAGGUGCUGGACCUCACCUGACAUCUAGCGGCAACCGCUGCGAGAAGAGCCGGGGUGCCGGAGCCCAGGAACACCCGGGAUCCCCCGCUGCUGCCAUCCAAAAUCCCUGUUUAAGAGGAAGGAACCAGCCCAAGGUGCAGGAUGGGGGUUUAAAGUUCAGUAACACACGGGGAACAGAUACCGGUCUGCUGCUUCAUCACCACAAACCUUCUCUGCUGGAACAAAAAAUUAUUCAGAGCUCUGCUCCUGCACGCAAAGUGCACGACACGUCCGUGGGAUGUUCACACUCUGCUGGUAUAAACUGGAUUGGAAUUACUUAUUUUCACAGUUCUUUUCCUCUGAUGCCUCACCCUCAUUUGGAGCGAGCGCUAACGACU